rnacentral:rRNA from 1 species
GAACCGUACGAACGUUAUUCGGAAUCACUGGGGCUUAAAGGGUGCGCAGGCGGCCUGUCAAGUUGGGUGUGAAAUCCCUCGGGCUCAACCGAGGGAAUUGCGCUCAAAACUGGCAGGCUUGAGGAAGACAGAGGUGAGCGGAACUCAGGGUGGAGCGGUGAAAUGCGUUGAUAUCCUGGGGAACACCAGUAGCGAAGGCGGCUCACUGGGUCUUUUCUGACGCUCAGGCACGAAAGCUAGGGGAGCGAACGGGAUUAGAUACCCCGGUAGUCCUAGCUGUAAACGAUGAGCACUGGGUUGGAGGGUCCUCCAUAGCCUUCCAGCCGUAGCGAAAGUGUUAAGUGCUCCGCCUGGGGAGUAUGGUCGCAAAGGCUG